UACGUAGGGUGCGAGCGUUGCCCGGAUUCACUGGGCGUAAAGGGUGCGUAGGUGGCCGGGUAAGUCUGAUGUGAAAUCUCCGAGCUUAACUCGGAAAUGGCAUUGGAUACUAUUCGACUGGAGGGUUGGAGGGGGACUGGAAUUCUCGGUGUAGCAGUGAAAUGCGUAGAUAUCGAGAGGAACACCAGUGGCGAAGGCGAGUCCCUGGACGAAACUCCUGACACUGAGGCACGAAAGCUAGGGGAGCAAACAGG
rnacentral:rRNA from 1 species